rnacentral:rRNA from 1 species
GUGUCAGCAGCCGCGGUAAUACGUAGGGUGCGAGCGUUGUCCGGAUUUAUUGGGCGUAAAGAGCUCGUAGGCGGUUUGUCGCGUCGGCCGUGAAAUCUCCACGCUUAACGUGGAGCGUGCGGUCGAUACGGGCAGACUUGAGUUCGGUAGGGGAGACUGGAAUUCCUGGUGUAGCGGUGAAAUGCGCAGAUAUCAGGAGGAACACCGGUGGCGAAGGCGGGUCUCUGGGCCGAUACUGACGCUGAGGAGCGAAAGCGUGGGGAGCGAACAGGAUUAGAAACCCUCGUAGUCC